GACGAACGCUGGCGGCGUGCUUAACACAUGCAAGUCGAGCGGUAAGGCCCCUUCGGGGGUACACGAGCGGCGAACGGGUGAGUAACACGUGAGCAAUCUGCCCUUCACACGGGGAUAACCACCGGAAACGGUGGCUAAUACCCGAUACGACCACUUCAGGCAUCUGAUGGUGGUGGAAAGUUCCGGCGGUGGAGGAUGAGCUCGCGGCCUAUCAGCUUGUUGGUGGGGUAAUGGCCUACCAAGGCAACGACGGGUAGCCGGCCUGAGAGGGUGACCGGCCACACUGGGACUGAGACACGGCCCAGACUCCUACGGGAGGCAGCAGUGGGGAAUAUUGGACAAUGGGCGAAAGCCUGAUCCAGCAACGCCGCGUGAGGGAUGACGGCCUUCGGGUUGUAAACCUCUUUCAGCAGGGACGAAGCGCAAGUGACGGUACCUGCAGAAGAAGCACCGGCCAACUACGUGCCAGCAGCCGCGGUAAUACGUAGGGUGCGAGCGUUGUCCGGAAUUAUUGGGCGUAAAGGGCUCGUAGGCGGUUUGUCGCGUCGGGAGUGAAAACUCAGGGCUUAACCCUGAGCCUGCUUCCGAUACGGGCAGACUAGAGGUAUGCAGGGGAGAACGGAAUUCCUGGUGUAGCGGUGAAAUGCGCAGAUAUCAGGAGGAACACCGGUGGCGAAGGCGGUUCUCUGGG
rnacentral:rRNA from 1 species